AUGACUCAUCUGUUUCACAGACUCCAUCUACAACUCAAACUAAGAGCUGCAGAUGUUCUUCAGAUUAAUGAACAUUCAAUACAGUCUCAUGAAACCUGUGCUGAAGAGGAGCUGAUUCAGACUUUCAUACAAAAACUACUGAUGAACAACUACAGGGCAAGACAUAUUAAAACAAAUAGUAACACUGAGACCAAUCAAACAUUGCUUAGUGUCAGUGACCAAUCUGAAGAUGACGGUGAUAUUUUUCAGGAUGCUUUUAAAAACAAAAGGUCAAGUCAGCCCGAACUCAUUCACCCAAUGGAUGUUCAGAUGGCUGUGUUUCAUCGUGCUGAUGGUUUCCUGAAGCAGCUGAUGGUCACUAAACUGUCCCAGUGUCAGUUCGCUCUGCCUCUGCUUGUUCCUGAUCUAGAAACUCAACAGAUUGAGUUUCCUCUCUGGACAUUCAGACAAAUCAACAAGAGCUGGAAGAUCAGAAACACCAACUAUGAAACCAUCAGUCAAACCCAGCCGACCUUCAAGGCACAAACUCCAAUGGUGUUUUUCUUCAGGUUUGGCUCUGUGUCUUCAUCCAAGUCUCAGCUGAUGAACACUCUGAUCAAUGACAAACACAACACGUUCUUCCACAGGAACUGCCCAGGCAGCAGCAGAUCCAGAGUCCUGAUGGAUGGAGUGGUGGAGAUCGCCUGGUUCUGCCCUUCUGGGAGAAACACAGAUACAUUUACUGAUUGUGUGGCCUUCUGUAAUCUACAUGGAGAUGCAGGAGACCACGAGAAACAGUGGAGGAUCCUCACUGAGAUGGCCUCAGUCAAUGUGGUUCUUCUGCCACGACUGGACAGGAAUGACAGACAAGCAGCAAUAAUUAAUAGACUGUACAAGAACAGAAAGCCACUUAUCUGUCUUUUUAAUGAAGAUGAAUCUGCUGUAACUGAGAUGAAGAAGGGGAAAUACAAAAUUGGUCUGAAAAACAGAAAUCAGUCAGAAGUAUCUGAAGAACUCAGAGGAGCUAUAAGUGAUUGUCUCUCAAAAUCAUCUUCCACUUUCAGGCUUGAAGAUGUGUCCAAACACUCAGACAUCAGAGUAGAUGAGGAAGAUGAUGAAGACUGCAGGAGAGGAAGAGCAGCAGCACAGCAGAUGAUCAAUUUACUGGAGGAGAAAAAACUGACAGAAAUCAAAGAAUCAUUUCUGCCUCAUCAGGGGAAACUGUGGCAUCAGUGGAGUCAGAAGAACAAAGAACUACAUCGACCUCAAGCAGAAGAGAUUGAGAUGGACAUCAGUAGAAAACAAACAGAAAUGAAGAAAAUCCGUCAACAGCAGCAUGAGUCUGACAUCAGUGUCUUCAUGAAGGUCUUUGUUAAAGAAAUUAACUCACAUAAUGAACAAGAAAAGAUAUUUUUCCUCAAAUGGCUCAAAAUUCUCCUGGAUGAGUAUACAUCAGCUGACCUGUCUGCUCUACACCACAAAUAUGAUCAAAAUUGGUCAAUAGUCAUGAAACUAAAAAAGAACCAUAACAAACCUGACCAACUCAAAGCUGAAGAAACUGAACUUGAGAGAAUAUCUGAGGAUCUUCAAGCUGCAGCCUUUGGUCUGGAGCACAUCAUGAGGGAGAUCGGUCAGAUCUAUGAAUCAUGUUCAUCUGUGAAGGAGAACAAGAAAGAUCUGCCGGUUCACUUCUCUUCUCUCCCGAGUCUCGCAGCAGAGAUGAUGAUCUCUGGGUUUCCACUGGAGCUGAUGGAUGGAGAUGCUGCUCAUGUUCCUCUGGUCUGGAUCUCUGCUGUUUUUGAUGAACUCAUCCAGAAACUGGGAGACCAGACCAGAGUCUUUGUACUGUCAGUUUUAGGACUUCAGAGCUCUGGGAAAUCCACCAUGCUGAACGCCAUGUUUGGACUCCAGUUUGCCGUCAGUGCUGGCAGGUGCACCAGAGGAGCUUUCAUGCAGCUGGUCAAAGUGUCUGACGAGAUGAAAACACAGAUGAACUUUGACUAUAUUCUGGUUGUUGAUACUGAGGGUCUUCGUGCUCUAGAACUGGCUGGAAGAUCAACAAGACAUCAUGACAAUGAAUUGGCCACAUUUGUUGUUGGUCUUGCAAAUCUGACAUUAAUUAACAUCUCUGGAGAAAACCCGUCUGAGAUGCAGGACGUUCUUCAGAUUGUUGCUCAGGCCUUUAUGAGAAUGAAGAAGGUCAGGUUGGAUCCCAGUUGUGUGUUUGUGCAUCAGAAUGUUUCAGACGUCACAGCUGGAGAGAAAAACAUGGAGGGUAGGAGACGACUGCUGGAGAAACUGGAUGAAAUGACAAAACUUGCUGCUGAAGAAGAAAAUAGUUCUGCAGAUUGUUUCAGUGACGUCAUUAGAUUUGAUGUUCAGAAUGAUGUGAAGUAUUUUGCUCAUCUCUGGGAGGGCAGUCCACCAAUGGCUCCACCAAACCCAAACUACUGUGAUGAUAUUCAAGAACUAAAAAGAACUGUUUUAUCUCAUGCAUCAAAUGGAAUGAUGCUGAAAGAUAUAAGGUAUUGCAUUAAAGAUCUUUGGAAGGCUUUACUGAAUGAAAGAUUCGUCUUCAGCUUCAGAAAUUCCCUGGAGAUUUCAGCCUACAGGAAACUGGAGACUGAGUACAGCAAGUGGUCCUGGAGUGUCCGCAGUGCCAUGAGGGAAACUGAAAACAGAUUAACCAACCAAAUCCAAAAUAAAGCUAUUCAUGAAGUUGAGGAAACUGUUCUUCAAGCAGAACUGAUGGAGACCAGUGAAGAAGUGCAAAAAUCAAUGUCUGAAUAUUUUGACAAAGACAAAAAUAAAGAUAUACUGAUUCAGUGGAAAACAUCCUUUGAAAUCAAAAUCAAAGAGCUUCAAGAAGACAUUGUAAGAGAAACAAAGAGGAAAUUAACUGAGAUUCUUCAGCAACGAGACCUGAACAAAAGAAUAUCUGCUCAGAGGAAACUUCAUGAAAAUGCCCUCUAUGAAAAGAGCAAAGAACUGGCCUUAAAACUCAAAGACAUAACAAAUGAUGAAGAAACCCUGAAGAAAGAGUUUGACUGCUUUUGGGAUCAGAGUGUGAAGAAGAUCGAAACAGACACUCCUCUAAUCAGAGACAUCAACUUAAUGAGAGACGUGAGACAGAUCCUUAGAGACAUCUAUGAAAGUAUUCCUGUAGACCAUUGGACGGAGAAUGAGUGCAAUAUUUUCUUUGUUCCGAGUUAUUCGGAUUACAUUAUUUUUAAAAGGUCGACAAAAAGUUGGAUUAAAGAGGUUGUAAAAGGUGCAUACGCAACUAUAAAAGAAAGAUUUGGAUAUGACCGAACUCUGUCUCCCGCAGAUGAAGCCCAAAUUAGAUCAUUCGCCAAUGAUGUAGCUCUGCAGACAGACAGAAUGAUUGAGUCAUUCAACAUUUCAACAAUGGGCUACAACAUCAGUGACAUUCAACAACUCACAAAUUACAUUAAAGCAAGAGUAACAGAACAUCAGGAAGGACCAGUGACAUAUACGUUCAAGAAUGAAUUCAUAAUGGAUUUAAGUCUUAGCAUCUGUAAGGGUGCAAAUGAUAUGAUCAUUGACCAACACAGACAGUUUAGAGAAACCAAUGAUCCUAAAAUAUAUGUGGAGAAGAAGAGAGAAGAGUACUAUAGUAUUUUCCAGAAAUACUGUCAUGGAGCAACAACAGCUGCCAUUAUUGCUGAGAUCAUCUGUCAGAAACUGAAGGAGCCCAUUGAGCAGAGCGUCUACAAGAAAACUGCCAAAGAUCUGUCAGAUGAAAUGAGAUCAAACUGUGAAUCACUGAAUGGAAACAGAUCAAAUCUUGAGAAACACAUCCUGAAGACACUGGCAGAAGAGGAGGACUUUGGCAAAUAUAUGAACUACAUUGAAAAUCCCAGAGGUCAUUUCAAGAGGUUCAUCAGACAUGAAGUCAGUCGCUACAUCAGAGAUAAGUUCAGCAUCAGUGUUUUACCCAAGAUGGAGGAGAACAUUAAACUCCUGCAGCAGAAGAUCAUGAACGCAGCACAUCAAUCUACUGAACAUGUUCAAGUCAACAGUGGAGAUGUUGGUUUGUGGUUGAAGAGUUUCACACAGCAGCUCUCAGAUCAGCUGAUCUUCUCUGAAAAAGACCUCAGUGGAGUCAAACAUGAUGAUGUUGAUGAUUUCAGACUCCUAGAAGAUGUGAUCACACAAGAACUUCCUGCUGUAAUGUCAGACAUCAGCAGCAGAUUCAACACAGACACAUUUCCAGUAAAGCUGGACUAUAAGAUCAGGCCAGAUGAUCUUCUGAUUGAUCACUUCUGUCAGUGCUGUUGGGUUCAGUGUCCAUUCUGUGGAGCCACUUGUACAAACACCAUUGAAAAUCACAAAGGAGAUCACAAUGUUCCCUUCCAUCGUUAUACUGGACUAAAAGGGAUGAGUUACAGACAUACAACAAACUUGUCCAUCAGUAUUUGUUCAUCAGCUGUAGCCAGUGAUCGAUGUUUUUAUUCUAUCGUCUUAGAUAGAAAAAUCCCUUGGAGAGAAUACAGAACAGCAGGAGAAGAUUAUGCCAACUGGAGCAUCACUCCUGAUCUCUCUGAACUGCCCUACUGGAAGUGGUUUGUGUGCAGAUUCCAGAAAGAUCUGGAGAAUUACUACAAUAACACAUUUGAAGGGGGUGGUGAGAUCCCAGAUGGGUGGAGAAAAUACUCAAAACAAGAAACUGUUGAGAGCUUAGACAAAUACAUUUAA
rnacentral:lncRNA from 1 species